AGAGUUUGAUCCUGGCUCAGGACGAACGCUGGCGGCGUGCCUAAUACAUGCAAGUCGAGCGGACAGAUGGGAGCUUGCUCCCUGAUGUUAGCGGCGGACGGGUGAGUAACACGUGGGUAACCUGCCUGUAAGACUGGGAUAACUCCGGGAAACCGGGGCUAAUACCGGAUGGUUGUUUGAACCGCAUGGUUCAAACAUAAAAGGUGGCUUCGGCUACCACUUACAGAUGGACCCGCGGCGCAUUAGCUAGUUGGUGAGGUAACGGCUCACCAAGGCGACGAUGCGUAGCCGACCUGAGAGGGUGAUCGGCCACACUGGGACUGAGACACGGCCCAGACUCCUACGGGAGGCAGCAGUAGGGAAUCUUCCGCAAUGGACGAAAGUCUGACGGAGCAACGCCGCGUGAGUGAUGAAGGUUUUCGGAUCGUAAAGCUCUGUUGUUAGGGAAGAACAAGUACCGUUCGAAUAGGGCGGUACCUUGACGGUACCUAACCAGAAAGCCACGGCUAACUACGUGCCAGCAGCCGCGGUAAUACGUAGGUGGCAAGCGUUGUCCGGAAUUAUUGGGCGUAAAGGGCUCGCAGGCGGUUUCUUAAGUCUGAUGUGAAAGCCCCCGGCUCAACCGGGGAGGGUCAUUGGAAACUGGGGAACUUGAGUGCAGAAGAGGAGAGUGGAAUUCCACGUGUAGCGGUGAAAUGCGUAGAGAUGUGGAGGAACACCAGUGGCGAAGGCGACUCUCUGGUCUGUAACUGACGCUGAGGAGCGAAAGCGUGGGGAGCGAACAGGAUUAGAUACCCUGGUAGUCCACGCCGUAAACGAUGAGUGCUAAGUGUUAGGGGGUUUCCGCCCCUUAGUGCUGCAGCUAACGCAUUAAGCACUCCGCCUGGGGAGUACGGUCGCAAGACUGAAACCCAAAGGAAUUGACGGGGGCCCGCACAAGCGGUGGAGCAUGUGGUUUAAUUCGAAGCAACGCGAAGAACCUUACCAGGUCUUGACAUCCUCUGACAAUCCUAGAGAUAGGACGUCCCCUUCGGGGGCAGAGUGACAGGUGGUGCAUGGUUGUCGUCAGCUCGUGUCGUGAGAUGUUGGGUUAAGUCCCGCAGCGAGCGCAACCCUUGAUCUUAGUUGCCAGCAUUCAGUUGGGCACUCUAAGGUGACUGCCGGUGACAAACCGGAGGAAGGUGGGGAUGACGUCAAAUCAUCAUGCCCCUUAUGACCUGGGCUACACACGUGCUACAAUGGACAGAACAAAGGGCAGCGAAACCGCGAGGUUAAGCCAAUCCCACAAAUCUGUUCUCAGUUCGGAUCGCAGUCUGCAACUCGACUGCGUGAAGCUGGAAUCGCUAGU
rnacentral:rRNA from 1 species